rnacentral:misc_RNA from 1 species
GUACUUGGCGCAACCCUUCUCAACAUUUCUCCUCCUUAUAGCAUGCUGCCAUAUGUUCCUCAGCUCCUCAAUCCGAACAGGUUUGAGUAGAUAAUCAACAGCCCCGUGAGUAACCCCCUUCAUCACAGUCUUCGUCUCCCCGUCAGCCGACAACAUGAUGACCGGGAGGUCCAUUUCGAGCCCGACAAGCUCCAAAAGCUUGAACCCAUCCAUGUCGGGCAUAUGUACAUCGCUUACAACCAGAUCAAAUCGGUCCUUAUUCUCCCUCAACAGCUUCAAAGCAAUAGUAGCCCUGUCAGUCACCGUCACAUCGUACUGGCAUCACCGGAGUAAAGUGUCCAACAGCCUCAAGCAAGCUCGAUCAUCAU